rnacentral:ncRNA from 1 species
AUAUAGGCCUCACUUAGAGGCCUUGCUAUGACCUGGGGAGGUUAGGCAUCCAUUUGGGUAGCGGUAGCUCCGCCCCUCUGGAGAGACGGCAACCAGAGACCGGGUUGUCAGAUCCCGGUCGGGGGACCGUCUU